rnacentral:lncRNA from 1 species
GGCAGGUUAACCGAUACAUGUUAAAUAUGUUAAAGUAUAAAUAUAAUAUAAGCAUACAUGUCUUAAGUUAUUUUGCUGUACAGAAAGAUGACGUGCUAUUAGCCUGAAAGCACCUUCAUUUUCUUUACUUUCCUUGGUUUUUUUAAUCUGCAUUUUCUUCUUACACAAUGUGGCCUGCAUAGAAAUCAGUCUUGCACAACUGGACGUGUGUAACCUGUAUCAGACGGCUCGGCUUCCCAAUGAGAAGAGUGGGGGGGAAGGGAGAGCAUCUGGGACUCGAAAAGUUUCUAAAGCAACGCUAAGAGAUGUCAUGGCGCAUCAUGGGGGGGAAUUCAGUUCAGAAGUAAAUCAUCCAUCUCCCUUCCCCAAGGUCCCAGCAUUGACGCAUGCUUCAGGAAGGCCAAAGGCAGCGAAGUCGGUCCCUGCGAGUGUGGAAGCAGGAGAGCCUGGGAGGGGGAGAGAAUUCAGCGAGAUCCGCGGGAAGCAGCCCCUUAGCGCAGACCCCGGACUCCUGCGGCCCAGGGCACACCUGGAGGCCUGGGGGAGCCUCCUCCCCAGGGAGAUGUGGGCAGGUGGACUCCUGCGGUGGCCGAGAGGGGGAGGGGAGGGAGAAGGACCACCCCCCACCUGACAGGUGGAAACGGAGGCCGGGGCAGGCUAAGGGACUCGUCCAUCACCGGCCGGGGGUAAACAAGCGGCGCGCCGGGAAUGCGGCCCUCUCCCCGGCCCUGCGUGAGCCAGCCCGCCCCCGUUAGCCCGGCUGUGCCCCAGGCCUGGAAUACAUGACCCCUCAAUUCCACCUUCCCCGCUCCCCCAAUGCCAGGAUUUCCCCGGUUAAUCAGCGCCGAUUUAUAAAGGUCUGGACUUUGUUCUCCCAGCUCUGCGCCUUGCUCCGUGCCCCAGCCCCCCCCGGCCCCCCCUCCCGGGCCCCAAGCCCCGCCCUCCAGGGCCCCAAAGCCCCGCCUCCAGGAGCCCCGUCCUCCAGGAGCCCCUCCCCCCGCCCCUCCGGGCCCCAAGCCCCGCCCUCCAGGGCCCAAAGCCCCGCCCUCCAGGGCCCAAAGCCCCGCCCUCCAGGAGCCCCGUCCUUCAGGAGCCCCGCCCCUCCGGGCCACAAGCCCCGCCCUCCAGGAGCACCGCCCCUCUGGGCCACAAGCCCCGCCCAUCCGGCCUCCAAGCCCCGCCCUCCCGGGCCACAAGCCCCGCCCUCCCGGGCCCCAAGCCCCGCCCUCCCGGGCCCAAGCCCCGCCCUCCAGGGCCCCAAAGCCCCGCCCUCCAGGAGCCCCGCCCUCCAGGAGCCCCGCCCGCCAGGGCCCCCUGCAGCCCCUCCCCCUGACCCGCCCCCCUUCUCCGGGCCGAGCUCCUGCCCUUGCCCCUCGGUGCCAGUGCCUCCGUGACUCAGCACAUUUUGGGGCUCCGGGGCAGGGGCGGGACGGGCGGGGCGUCAGGGGCGGGCCGGGGGCGGAGUCCGGAUUUAUUAAGCUCCGGGCCGCGCGGGGAUUCAGCUUCCGGUUUGCGCUGGUGCUUGCGGUCCUGCUCUCCGGAGAUGCCUCCCUACACCAUCACCUACUUCCCUGUCCGAGGGCGAUGUGAGGCCAUGAGGAUGCUCCUGGCGGACCAGGGCCAGACCUGGAAGGAGGACGUGGUGACCAAGGAUAUGUGGAUGAAGGGGGACCUCAAGGCUACUUGUCUCUAUGGGCAGCUCCCCAAGUUCGCCGACGGAGACUUCAUCCUUUACCAGAGCAACGCCAUCCUGAGAUACCUGGGCCGCCAGCUCGGGCUCUAUGGGAAGGACAACCGAGAAGCUGCGCUCUUGGACAUCGCCAAUGAUGGGGUAGAGGAUCUUCGGCUCAAGUAUGGUCGCCUCAUCUACCAGAACUAUGACGAAGGCAAGGAUGAUUAUGUGAAGGACCUGCCCAACCAGCUGAAGCCUUUUGAGAACCUGCUGAGGCAGAACCAAGGAGGCAAAACCUUUAUUGUGGGAGACCAGGU